GUUAUAUGGUCAAGUGAAGAAGCGCAUACGGUGGAUGCCUUGGCAGUCAGAGGCGAUGAAAGACGUGGUAGCCUGCGAAAAGCUUCGGGGAGUCGGCAAACAGACUUUGAUCCGGAGAUGUCUGAAUGGGGGAACCCAGCCAUCAUAAGAUGGUUAUCUUGUACUGAAUACAUAGGUGCAAGAGGCGAACCAGGGGAACUGAAACAUCUAAGUACCCUGAGGAAAAGAAAUCAACCGAGAUUCCCUUAGUAGUGGCGAGCGAACGGGGACUAGCCCUUAAGUGGCUUUGAGAUUAGCGGAACGCUCUGGAAAGUGCGGCCAUAGUGGGUGAUAGCCCUGUACGCGAAAAUCUCUUAGUCAUGAAAUCGAGUAGGACGGAGCACGAGAAACUUUGUCUGAAUAUGGGGGGACCAUCCUCCAAGGCUAAAUACUACUGACUGACCGAUAGUGAACUAGUACCGUGAGGGAAAGGCGAAAAGAACCCCGGAGAGGGGAGUGAAAUAGAUCCUGAAACCGUAUGCGUACAAGCAGUGGGAGCCCACUUUGUUGGGUGACUGCGUACCUUUUGUAUAAUGGGUCAGCGACUUAUUUUCAGUGGCGAGCUUAACCGAAUAGGGGAGGCGUAGCGAAAGCGAGUCUUAAUAGGGCGUCUAGUCGCUGGGAAUAGACCCGAAACCGGGCGAUCUAUCCAUGGGCAGGUUGAAGGUUGGGUAACACUAACUGGAGGACCGAACCGACUACCGUUGAAAAGUUAGCGGAUGACCUGUGGAUCGGAGUGAAAGGCUAAUCAAGCUCGGAGAUAGCUGGUUCUCCUCGAAAGCUAUUUAGGUAGCGCCUCAUGUAUCACUGUAGGGGGUAGAGCACUGUUUCGGCUAGGGGGUCAUCCCGACUUACCAAACCGAUGCAAACUCCGAAUACCUACAAGUGCCGAGCAUGGGAGACACACGGCGGGUGCUAACGUCCGUCGUGAAAAGGGAAACAACCCAGACCGUCAGCUAAGGUCCCAAAGUUAUGGUUAAGUGGGAAACGAUGUGGGAAGGCUUAGACAGCUAGGAGGUUGGCUUAGAAGCAGCCACCCUUUAAAGAAAGCGUAAUAGCUCACUAGUCGAGUCGGCCUGCGCGGAAGAUGUAACGGGGCUCAAACCAUACACCGAAGCUACGGGUAUCACUUAGGUGAUGCGGUAGAGGAGCGUUCUGUAAGCCUGUGAAGGUGAGUUGAGAAGCUUGCUGGAGGUAUCAGAAGUGCGAAUGCUGACAUGAGUAACGACAAUGGGUGUGAAAAACACCCACGCCGAAAGACCAAGGUUUCCUGCGCAACGUUAAUCGACGCAGGGUUAGUCGGUCCCUAAGGCGAGGCUGAAAAGCGUAGUCGAUGGAAAACAGGUUAAUAUUCCUGUACUUCUGGUUAUUGCGAUGGAGGGACGGAGAAGGCUAGGCCAGCUUGGCGUUGGUUGUCCAAGUUUAAGGUGGUAGGCUGAGAUCUUAGGUAAAUCCGGGAUCUUAAGGCCGAGAGCUGAUGACGAGUUACCCUUUGGGUGACGAAGUGGUUGAUGCCAUGCUUCCAAGAAAAGCUUCUAAGCUUCAGGUAACCAGGAACCGUACCCCAAACCGACACAGGUGGUUGGGUAGAGAAUACCAAGGCGCUUGAGAGAACUCGGGUGAAGGAACUAGGCAAAAUGGCACCGUAACUUCGGGAGAAGGUGCGCCGGUGAGGGUGAAGCACUUGCUGCGUAAGCCCACGCCGGUCGAAGAUACCAGGCCGCUGCGACUGUUUAUUAAAAACACAGCACUCUGCAAACACGAAAGUGGACGUAUAGGGUGUGACGCCUGCCCGGUGCCGGAAGGUUAAUUGAUGGGGUUAGCUAACGCGAAGCUCUUGAUCGAAGCCCCGGUAAACGGCGGCCGUAACUAUAACGGUCCUAAGGUAGCGAAAUUCCUUGUCGGGUAAGUUCCGACCUGCACGAAUGGCGUAACGAUGGCGGCGCUGUCUCCACCCGAGACUCAGUGAAAUUGAAAUCGCUGUGAAGAUGCAGUGUAUCCGCGGCUAGACGGAAAGACCCCGUGAACCUUUACUAUAGCUUUGCACUGGACUUUGAAUUUGCUUGUGUAGGAUAGGUGGGAGGCUUUGAAGCGUGGACGCCAGUUCGCGUGGAGCCAUCCUUGAAAUACCACCCUGGCAACUUUGAGGUUCUAACUCAGGUCCGUUAUCCGGAUCGAGGACAGUGUAUGGUGGGUAGUUUGACUGGGGCGGUCUCCUCCUAAAGAGUAACGGAGGAGUACGAAGGUGCGCUCAGACCGGUCGGAAAUCGGUCGUAGAGUAUAAAGGCAAAAGCGCGCUUGACUGCGAGACAGACACGUCGAGCAGGUACGAAAGUAGGUCUUAGUGAUCCGGUGGUUCUGUAUGGAAGGGCCAUCGCUCAACGGAUAAAAGGUACUCCGGGGAUAACAGGCUGAUACCGCCCAAGAGUUCAUAUCGACGGCGGUGUUUGGCACCUCGAUGUCGGCUCAUCACAUCCUGGGGCUGAAGCCGGUCCCAAGGGUAUGGCUGUUCGCCAUUUAAAGUGGUACGCGAGCUGGGUUUAGAACGUCGUGAGACAGUUCGGUCCCUAUCUGCCGUGGACGUUUGAGAUUUGAGAGGGGCUGCUCCUAGUACGAGAGGACCGGAGUGGACGAACCUCUGGUGUUCCGGUUGUCACGCCAGUGGCAUUGCCGGGUAGCUAUGUUCGGAAAAGAUAACCGCUGAAAGCAUCUAAGCGGGAAACUUGCCUCAAGAUGAGAUCUCACUGGGACCUUGAGUCCCCUGAAGGGCCGUCGAAGACUACGACGUUGAUAGGUGGGGUGUGUAAGCGCUGUGAGGCGUUGAGCUAACCCAUACUAAUUGCCCGUGAGGCUUGACCAUAUAACACCCAAGCAAUU
rnacentral:rRNA from 1 species